CAGUAGGCCGCGGUAAUACAGAGGGUGCGAGCGUUAAUCGGAUUUACUGGGCGUAAAGCGUGCGUAGGCGGCUUCUUAAGUCGGAUGUGAAAUCCCUGAGCUUAACUUAGGAAUUGCAUUCGAUACUGGGAAGCUAGAGUAUGGGAGAGGAUGGUAGAAUUCCAGGUGUAGCGGUGAAAUGCGUAGAGAUCUGGAGGAAUACCGAUGGCGAAGGCAGCCAUCUGGCCUAAUACUGACGCUGAGGUACGAAAGCAUGGGGAGCAAACAGGAUUAGAUACCCGUGUAGUCCCUGUCUCUUAUA
rnacentral:rRNA from 1 species